UACAGAGGGGGCGAGCGUUGUUCGGAAUUACUGGGCGUAAAGGCGCGUAGGCGGCCUUCUAAGUCGAACGUGAAAUCCCCGGGCUCAACCCGGGAACUGCGUCCGAUACUGGGAGGCUUGAAUCCGGGAGAGGGAUGUGGAAUUCCUGGUGUAGCGGUGGAAUGCGCAGAUAUCAGGAGGAACACCGGUGGCGAAGGCGGAUCUCCUGGGCCAUAACUGACGCUGAGGAGCGAAGCAUGGGGAGCGAACAGGA
rnacentral:rRNA from 1 species